GCGAAAGUCUGCUUUACGUCCCCCGGUUUCCCUCCUCUCUCUCCAUCCGGCCGACAGGUGGGACCGUGGACCCCACCUGUCAGCUCCUCCUCCUACCUCUCGCCGGCCAACCCCAACCGCCAUUACCGGCCACGUCCCACCAAAUCCGGUGCCCUCCCGCUCGCGCCUUCGCGCCCAAACCAAGUAAAAUCGGUUCCUCACCACCUCCUCCACCAAAUCCCUCACUUUUCCCCAAUUUUUGGCGCCAAAUCGAGCCCCCACUUCGCCCACGAUGUCGCCCACGUCGCCGGCCGUUGCCGCCUCAAAUCCACCACGUCCGGCCACGAUUUCUCCUCCCCAAUCCUAUAAAAACGAUCCCCGGAGCAUCCUCUCUCUUUUCCCCUCCUCACCCGAGCCCGCCGCGCUCUCUCUCGCCCUCCCCACGCCGCUCCCGCGCGCCGCCGCUCGCCGUCGACUUCCAGCCGCGCGCCGUCGCCGCUCCAGACACCGCCGCGUUGCGCCGCCACCACCGUUAGCCUCGUUGUCCCGAGCUCCAUCCCGGCAUCCACUUUAUUUCCCAGAACCACUGCCGUGAUGCCGUGCCCGCGCGCAACCCGAGCCGCCGCCGCUUUUGCCGCCUCCAGCCGCCUCUUGCUGCAGCGCCCAGGCCAGCCGCGCCUCGUCCGCUGCACGGUCGUCGUCUUCCGCCGCUCCAACCCAUCCUCUAAGUUCGCCUGUCAAGGGCGACCCCGUCCGCCCUCCGUCCUCGCAAGCCGCCAUCGGGCAAUCGUCGUCGCCGUCAUCUUCCUCCGCGCCGGCCGCCGCUUCCGCGUGUAGUUCCCGUCGUUUCGGAAGUCCGCGGUCGCGAGGAAAAGAGUUCGGAAGA